UUAUAUACACCGCCGGGUGUCAAAUUUAAAAAGAGUACUUCUAAUAAUUCCGUUAGGCCAAAGUAGGAAUUAUCAGGGGCACUCUAUUUUU
rnacentral:ncRNA from 1 species